rnacentral:lncRNA from 10 species
UUUUAAAUGUUUUCUAAGUGUUUUCUACUUUCAGAUUUACUAAAAUAUUCCAUUUUAAAUAGUAUUUUCUUUUUCUUAGAUUUUGUUCCAUAAUUUUUUUCAUUAAGAACAUACAUGUAUUAUCACAUUUAAUCCACUCAAAACCCUCAGAAGGCAGUAGUUAUUUUUAUCAUGAACUUACAGAUAAAGAAUGCAGCUUAGAGAAGUUAAAUAAGUUGUUUAAUGCUGUGAACCAAGUCCGUAGUCUGAUCCUAGGGUUAUACUGUAACACGAAAGGAUACUUACACGCAAGACUAAAGAGGAUCAAACCUGAUACUCAACCUAUGGCUGCAUUCCAUCCUGAACCACAGUGCCAGAAAACAGUGAUUACAGUUUUCUAUGAUUCAGUGAGUUCACUGGGAGUUUCUUCUGCUUAGGCUCACCUGGGCUCAAACAUGCAACUACAGACAUCUACUCUGGGGUGGUCUAGAAUGCCCCCUCACAAGGAUGCAGUUCCAACUGGAAUGGCAGGAACAGCUAGCAUGGCUGGGCCUCUCCCUCCAGCUGGUCUUUCAUUCUGGAAUUGUUCUCAGCGUGGGGAGCUCAAGACUCCAAAAGGGCAAAGACAGAAACUGUGAAACAUCUUAGGACUCAGCCUAGGAAAGUGAGCAAUGUCACAUCAGAAAGAUUUCACUGAUCAAAAUAACCAAGCCAGCAUCACCGCAUAAGGAAAUGAAUUCAAACCCUGAAAGGAGAGAGACAAAAAGUCUCAUUGCAAAAUGGUGUUUUCACAGGAACACCUGACUCAUUGGGAGUCAUUGUUACCAAAGCACACACAAAAUCUACACAGUAUUUUCAUUCUAGUUUACGGGAUAUGUCUUUGUUGUUAUUUGUAAAGUGAAACUUCACAGGGUUACAUUGAUAAAAGGUGGGGGCUCUCUGACAAAUACCAAGAAUUAUUAAGAAUUUUUGUACUUGUGUUAGCCUGGAUGGAGCACCUUUAACAUCGCUGGCACAAGUGAUAUGUUUCACUUCUUUAGGCACAUUUUUUGCUUAGAGUUGGAAGGAGCCCAGGUGGUUUGCUGACCCAAUAGUGCUAGAUUGCUGAGAUACUUCCGAGCUGACUGCUUGGGAACAUGGAAUUGUUCAUUUAUGUGUACCCAUUCUGGGUCAAGAGACUGCUGAUUGCUUGGGAACACUGAGAGAUUCCUUUAUGUGUGCCCACUCUGGGUCAAGACAGACCACUUGUCCUGUGAACCAUCUGGUCCAAUCUCUCCCUGUUCUCUGUGACCUUCAUGGGUAGAGAGGAACAAAGCAACUAAGGCUCCUGUCAUUAACCACAGUUGUCAGGUUUCCUUUUAUUGACAAAUUUGGAGUUGGAAUGGUUUUGAGGAGAGGAGCCUGAGCUGCCUGACUCAAACCUUGCAGCAAAUUCCUGGCUGCUCUGAGACAUCUUCUCCCUGCAGCCUGCAUCAGAGGGUACAUUUCAGAACAGAGGCUUAAACAAUGGGAAGGAAAAGAACAAAAAGACAAUCAGGAAUGAGUAGUAAGAAUAAUCGGCUGCCAUGCUAGUCAUGGGACUCAGGAGAACACAGGAGGUGAAGGGUAUCACAAAUGCCUUCAUCCCCCACCCCAGCCUACACCACUGCCAGCCUUGCCCCUGCUCUGUCCCCCUCAGAAGGACACCAAGAGACAGAGGGUGGCAAAAAUCCAAUGCGUUAUUCUUUUCCGACCCCCUCCCCACUCUCACCAGAUGCCUCCGAAAAUCAGCUGGACGGUGGGAGGGAUCAAGAAUGACUGCCGUCACCAUGGAAACUCCUUGAUGGCGAGAUUGCUUUGAGAACCAGGAGGGGAUGAGAUAAGCACCAGAGGAACACUGGGCAGUCAGGGCCCAGCAUCCACCAACCCUUUCUUCCAGAUAACUCCUUUGUUCUCUGGGCUGGUCUCCCUCUUGCUCCUAUAGGGGCCCUUUCUGACUCUUCACCUGUUUUGAUUCUUCAGUGGUGCCCUUCCCGGGUCUGGGAGGGAAGGGCCCGAGGCCCACUCAGGGCUGCCCCAGGAUGGCCACUUCUCACUGCAGCCCAGACACCCUGGUCUAUAAGACACACUAUCCUUGCCACUGAGAAGGAAGGGACGUCAACACUUUUGAGCCAAGCCCUGUGUCCCCUGCAUCCUGCAAGGAAGAAGAAAAAUAAAGACCUGACUAUUUUUCACAGGUGCAACGGGUGACUAAAGACAGAAAGAGAGUGGUGUGGUUUUCACUUCAUCUUGUUGAGAAGCCAGGGCCUGAAGUCCAGAGAUCCCCAUUCACAUGCACCCUCUUGGGUGGGAAGGGGAGGAACUCUUACCUCCCUCUCUGCCAUGUUCUCCUCUCGUUGCCCAUUUGUGUACUAUCCUCCCUGUCCCCUACCUGACUGCAUGUGCCUUCAAUGCAAAGGUCUUACUGCUCAUCAGCUUUACAUCUGCAUCACAGUCACAAUUCCUGCACCUUACAGGCCUGGAUCAAAUUCUUGUGAAUGAGCAAAAGCAUCUCUAAAGGUCACCAGUGCCCUGCUUGUCUCAAUCCUAGCCGGACACUAGGCUAUAAUGCUCAUUAUAAAUGUGAAAAUAAGGAAGGAGACCACCUCUCCCAUUGUCUCCUGUUUCAAAAAGGAAGCAGAAAGUUAAAAAGAAGCAGAAGUGAGGUCAACAGCCAGACAGCUUGGCACCAAAAACCAGGCCUGGUAGUUAAACAUCAACUCCUAACCUAACUGCUUGUGUUAUCUGUAGAUGCCAGACAUCGUAUGAGGAAGCGCUGUGAAACUUUCUGUUCUGUUCUGCUAGCCCCCAUUACUGAUGCACGUAGCCCUCAAUCCCAUAGCCCCCGCUUGCACAAUGUAUCACGACCCUUUCACGUGGACCCCUUAGAGUUGUAAGCCCUUAAAAGGGACAGGAAUCUUCACUUUGGGGAGCUCAGACCUUGAGAUGCGAGUCUACUGAUGCUCCCAGCUGAUUAAAGC